AUACGGAGGGUGCGAGCGUUAAUCGGAAUUACUGGGCGUAAAGCGCGCGUAGGCGGUUUGUUAAGUCGGAUGUGAAAUCCCCGGGUUCAACCUGGGACCUGCAUCCGAUACUGGCAGGCUAGAGUCUGGUAGAGGGGGGUAGAAUUCCUGGUGUAGCGGUGAAAUGCGUAGAUAUCAGGAGGAAUACCAGUGGCGAAGGCGGCCCCCUGGACUGAGACUGACGCUGAGGUGCGAAAGCGUGGGGAGCAAACAGGAUUAGAUACCCUAGUAGUCC
rnacentral:rRNA from 1 species